CCUGGCUUGCAUUAUAGUAUCUAUGUGUUUAUAACAAUUUUCUCAUAUUCAUGUGCAUCAAUAAACUAUUGAAAAUAAAAAUCAAUACUUAUCUAAUCAAGCAGACAUUUAAGAUUCUAAAUUGAGCAAGCUGAUAGUCGUAUGUUUUUGUCUAUCUUGCUCCAAUCAAUAACUUUAUAGAAAGUUUAUGGUGGCAUUGUGGACUUGUUGGUA